CGCGCAAAGCAGCAGCGGCAGAACCCCCGCGGCACGCAUGCUGGAUCCGCUUCUCCGUGGAGCCCGGUUCUGGUUCCUGGGAGGAAAAGAACCUCUCAGAAGACGAGUGCAUCCUCCUCCGUGUGAUUACGGCCUCCAGCCGGACCCCGGGGCUCAUUAUGGGAUGCAAAGUGAUUCCCAAACAGAUGUCACGCUCUUUACGGCCGUUUGAGAGGCAGAAAGUCAAUGUUGACGGAGGUCGUUAGGGGGCUGAUGGUGGAGCUGAUGACCCCAUCCCAGAAUGUCAAUGACGUUACAUUUAUAACUGAAAUGUUUUAUGGUUGUCCACAUGCAGGGAGCAGAAAAACAACAACAAUAGAGAAAUGGAAAGGAGAACUCCUGAGAUGUUAAAAAGUCUUUCGGUUUGCUUACUUUUUUUUUUUUUCUUCAUAUUAAUAAUAAAAAAGAGGCAGAUUGUGUCCACAAGGUUCGAUUCCCGUAUAGCUUACGUGUGGAAGUGCCCUUGAGCAAGACACUGCUCCUUGAUAACUGAGGAGGAGAAGACGGGAUCAAUAGAAUUAGAUUUAUUAUUUCUUUCACUUCAGAAACCAAACUUACAUCCUUAUAAUGCAUAUUACAGUAUAUUUAAAAUGCUACAUUGUAAUGUGUAUUACAGUAUAUUUAAAAUGCUACAUUGUAAUGUGUAUUACAGUAUAUUUAAAAUGCUACAUUGUAAUGUGUAUUACUGUAUAUUUAAAAUGAUACAUUGUAAUGUGUAUUACUGUAUAUUUAAAAUGAUACAUUGUAAUGUGUAUUACAGCAUAUUUAAAAUGCUACAUUGUAAUGUGUAUUACAGUAUAUUUAAAAUGCUACAUUGUAAUGUGUAUUACAGUUUAUUUAAAAUGAUACAUUGUAAUGUGUAUUACUGUAUAUUUAAAAUGAUACAUUGUAAUGUGUAUUACAGUAUAUUUAAAAUGAUACAUUGUAAUGUGUAUUACAGUAUAUUUAAAAUGAUACAUUGUAAUGUGUAUUACUGUAUAUUUAAAAUGAUAGAUUCCCUGAAACCUUGAACUAAGUUUGUUUUCAAUAUUACAAAUAGACAAACGUGGUUUUGCAGAUAUGAUCUGUGGUGAUGUGAUUAUUGAUAUUAUUAUUAUCUCCAGGAGACGUUCAGUCUCUGAAAACCAAAUCUGACAACAAGGGCCUCAAGAUAAAUGGAUGAAAACAA